UUCCGGUUGAUCCUGCCGGACCCUACUGCUAUCGGGUGGAGACUAAGCCAUGCAAGUUGUCCUAGCCACGUGGAGCGUACGGCUCAGUAACACGUAGUUAAUCUGCCCUUGGGACGGGAAUACCCCUGGGAAACUGGGGCUAAUUCCCGAUAGGCGCAGUGCUCUGGAAUGACACUGCACUCAAAAGGUUGAGUGCCCAAGGAUGAGACUGCGGCCGAUCAGGUUGUUGGUGGGGUAACGGCCUACCAAGCCUAUAACCGGUACGGGCCCUGAGAGGGGAAGCCCGGAGAUGGGAACUGAGACAAGGUCCCAGGUCCUACGGGGCGCAGCAGGCGCGAAAACUCCGCAAUGCGCGAAUGCGUGACGGGGUUAUCCCGAGUGCCGUCCGAUUAGGAUGGCUUUUCUUCAGUUUAAGGAUCUGUAGGAAUAAAGGGGGGGCAAGAUCUGGUGUCAGCCGCCGCGGUAAUACCAGCCCCCUGAGUGGUAGGGACGAUUAUUUGGCCUAAAGCGUCCGUAGCCGGCUCAGUAAGUCUUUCGUCAAAUCCGACGAUUCAAUCGUUGGACCGCGGAAGAUACUGCUAGGCUUGAGGACGGGAGAGGUCGACGGUACUCUUUGGGUAGGGGUGAAAUCCUAUAAUCCUGGGAGGACCACCAGUGGCGAAGGCGGUCGACUAGAACGUGCCUGACGGUGAUGGACGAAAGCUGGGGGAGCGAACCGGAUUAGACACCCGGGUAGUCCCAGCUGUAAACGAUGCGAGCUAGGUGUUGGAGCAACUACGAGUUGCUCCAGUGCCGCAGAGAAGUUGUUAAGCUCGCCGCCUGGGAAGUACGGCCGCAAGGCUGAAACUUAAAGGAAUUGGCGGGGGAGCACCACAAGGGGUGAAGCCUGCGGUUCAAUUGGAUUCAACGCCGGA
rnacentral:rRNA from 1 species